UACAGGGGGGGCAAGCGUUGUUCGGAAUUACUGGGCGUAAAGGGCUCGUAGGCGGCCAACUAAGUCCGACGUGAAAUCCCAAAGCUUAACUUUGGAACUGCGUCGGAUACUGGAUGGCUUGAAUUCGGGAGAGGGAUGCAGAAUUCCAGGUGUAGCGGUGAAAUGCGUAGAUAUCUGGAGGAACAUCCGUGGCGAAGGCGGCUACCUGGACCAGCACUGACACUGAGGCACGAAAGCGUGGGGAGCAAACAGG
rnacentral:rRNA from 1 species